AUGCCUAAGCAAAUCAACGAGAUUAAGGAUUUCCUUCUCACUGCCAGAAGGAAGGAUGCUAGGUCAGUGAGAAUCAAGAGGAGCAAGGAUGUCGUUAAGUUCAAGGUCAGAUGUUCCAAGUACCUUUACACACUUUGUGUGUUUGAUGUUGAGAAAGCCGACAAGUUGAAGCAAUCACUUCCUCCAGGUUUGAGUGUUCAAGACCUUUAA